rnacentral:rRNA from 1 species
GUCUGUGGCCAUACCAUCCUGAACAUGCCUGCUCUUAUCUGAACUCAGAAGCUAAGCAGGGUCAGGUUAGUACUUGGAUGGGAGAAAAUUGUUGUUCUUU